rnacentral:piRNA from 1 species
UUGGAAGAAUCAAGAUGGAACUCUUUUGAAC